CUAAGAAUAUUCCGCAAUGGACGAAAGUCUGACGGAGCGACGCCGCGUGGAUGAUGAAGGCCGAAAGGUUGUAAAAUCCUUUUGUCGGGGGAGAAUAAGGCGGGGAGGCAAUGCCCUGCCGAUGACAUGAACCGGCGAAUAAGCCCCGGCUAACUACGUGCCAGCAGCCGCGGUAACACGUAGGGGGCGAGCGUUGUUCGGAAUUACUGGGCGUAAAGGGCAUGUAGGCGGCCCUUCAAGCCUGGCGUGAAAGACCGCAGCUCAACUGCGGGUAUGCGCUGGGAACUGGAGGGCUCGAGUUACGGAGAGGAAGCUGGAAUUCCUGGUGUAGGGGUGAAAUCUGUAGAGAUCAGGAAGAACACCGAUGGCGAAGGCAAGCUUCUGGCCGAUAACUGACGCU
rnacentral:rRNA from 1 species